rnacentral:misc_RNA from 1 species
UACGUAGGGGGCGAGCGUUGUCCGGAAUUAUUGGGCGUAAAGAGCUCGUAGGCGGUCCAUUAAGUCAGGGGUGAAAUCUCAGGGCUCAACCCUGAAAUUGCCCCUGAUACUGGUGGACUUGAGGCAGGUAGGGGAAGGUGGAAUUCCUGGUGUAGCGGUGAAAUGCGCAGAUAUUAGGAGGAACACCAGUGGCGAAGGCGGCCUUCUGGGCCUGUUCUGACGCUGAGGAGCGAAAGCGUGGGGAGCAAACAGG